rnacentral:rRNA from 1 species
UACAGAGGUCCCGAGCGUUGUUCGGAUUCACUGGGCGUAAAGCGUGCGCAGGCGGUUCGCUAAGACAGAUGUGAAAUCCCCGGGCUUAACCUGGGAACUGCAUUUGUGACUGGCGGGCUAGAGUAUGGCAGAGGGGGGUAGAAUUCCACGUGUAGCAGUGAAAUGCGUAGAGAUGUGGAGGAAUACCGAUGGCGAAGGCAGCCCCCUGGGCCAAUACUGACGCUCAUGCACGAAAGCGUGGGGAGCAAACAGG